rnacentral:rRNA from 1 species
GGUUAAGCGACUAAGCGUACACGGUGGAUGCCCUGGCAGUCAGAGGCGAUGAAGGACGUGCUAAUCUGCGAUAAGCGUCGGUAAGGUGAUAUGAACCGUUAUAACCGGCGAUUUCCGAAUGGGGAAACCCAGUGUGUUUCGACACACUAUCAUUAACUGAAUCCAUAGGUUAAUGAGGCGAACCGGGGGAACUGAAACAUCUAAGUACCCCGAGGAAAAGAAAUCAACCGAGAUUCCCCCAGUAGCGGCGAGCGAACGGGGAGCAGCCCAGAGCCUGAAUCAGUAUGUGUGUUAGUGGAAGCGUCUGGAAAGGCGCGCGAUACAGGGUGACAGCCCCGUACACAAAAAUGCACAUGCUGUGAGCUCGAUGAGUAGGGCGGGACACGUGGUAUCCUGUCUGAAUAUGGGGGGACCAUCCUCCAAGGCUAAAUACUCCUGACUGACCGAUAGUGAACCAGUACCGUGAGGGAAAGGCGAAAAGAACCCCGGCGAGGGGAGUGAAAAAGAACCUGAAACCGUGUACGUACAAGCAGUGGGAGCACGCUUAGGCGUGUGACUGCGUACCUUUUGUAUAAUGGGUCAGCGACUUAUAUUCUGUAGCAAGGUUAACCGAAUAGGGGAGCCGAAGGGAAACCGAGUCUUAACUGGGCGUUAAGUUGCAGGGUAUAGACCCGAAACCCGGUGAUCUAGCCAUGGGCAGGUUGAAGGUUGGGUAACACUAACUGGAGGACCGAACCGACUAAUGUUGAAAAAUUAGCGGAUGACUUGUGGCUGGGGGUGAAAGGCCAAUCAAACCGGGAGAUAGCUGGUUCUCCCCGAAAGCUAUUUAGGUAGCGCCUCGUGAAUUCAUCUCCGGGGGUAGAGCACUGUUUCGGCAAGGGGGUCAUCCCGACUUACCAACCCGAUGCAAACUGCGAAUACCGGAGAAUGUUAUCACGGGAGACACACGGCGGGUGCUAACGUCCGUCGUGAAGAGGGAAACAACCCAGACCGCCAGCUAAGGUCCCAAAGUCAUGGUUAAGUGGGAAACGAUGUGGGAAGGCCCAGACAGCCAGGAUGUUGGCUUAGAAGCAGCCAUCAUUUAAAGAAAGCGUAAUAGCUCACUGGUCGAGUCGGCCUGCGCGGAAGAUGUAACGGGGCUAAACCAUGCACCGAAGCUGCGGCAGCGACGCUUAUGCGUUGUUGGGUAGGGGAGCGUUCUGUAAGCCUGCGAAGGUGUGCUGUGAGGCAUGCUGGAGGUAUCAGAAGUGCGAAUGCUGACAUAAGUAACGAUAAAGCGGGUGAAAAGCCCGCUCGCCGGAAGACCAAGGGUUCCUGUCCAACGUUAAUCGGGGCAGGGUGAGUCGACCCCUAAGGCGAGGCCGAAAGGCGUAGUCGAUGGGAAACAGGUUAAUAUUCCUGUACUUGGUGUUACUGCGAAGGGGGGACGGAGAAGGCUAUGUUGGCCGGGCGACGGUUGUCCCGGUUUAAGCGUGUAGGCUGGUUUUCCAGGCAAAUCCGGAAAAUCAAGGCUGAGGCGUGAUGACGAGGCACUACGGUGCUGAAGCAACAAAUGCCCUGCUUCCAGGAAAAGCCUCUAAGCAUCAGGUAACAUCAAAUCGUACCCCAAACCGACACAGGUGGUCAGGUAGAGAAUACCAAGGCGCUUGAGAGAACUCGGGUGAAGGAACUAGGCAAAAUGGUGCCGUAACUUCGGGAGAAGGCACGCUGAUAUGUAGGUGAAGUCCCUCGCGGAUGGAGCUGAAAUCAGUCGAAGAUACCAGCUGGCUGCAACUGUUUAUUAAAAACACAGCACUGUGCAAACACGAAAGUGGACGUAUACGGUGUGACGCCUGCCCGGUGCCGGAAGGUUAAUUGAUGGGGUUAGCCGCAAGGCGAAGCUCUUGAUCGAAGCCCCGGUAAACGGCGGCCGUAACUAUAACGGUCCUAAGGUAGCGAAAUUCCUUGUCGGGUAAGUUCCGACCUGCACGAAUGGCGUAAUGAUGGCCAGGCUGUCUCCACCCGAGACUCAGUGAAAUUGAACUCGCUGUGAAGAUGCAGUGUACCCGCGGCAAGACGGAAAGACCCCGUGAACCUUUACUAUAGCUUGACACUGAACAUUGAGCCUUGAUGUGUAGGAUAGGUGGGAGGCUUGGAAGUGUGGACGCCAGUCUGCAUGGAGCCGACCUUGAAAUACCACCCUUUAAUGUUUGAUGUUCUAACGUUGACCCGUAAUCCGGGUUGCGGACAGUGUCUGGUGGGUAGUUUGACUGGGGCGGUCUCCUCCUAAAGAGUAACGGAGGAGCACGAAGGUUGGCUAAUCCUGGUCGGACAUCAGGAGGUUAGUGCAAUGGCAUAAGCCAGCUUGACUGCGAGCGUGACGGCGCGAGCAGGUGCGAAAGCAGGUCAUAGUGAUCCGGUGGUUCUGAAUGGAAGGGCCAUCGCUCAACGGAUAAAAGGUACUCCGGGGAUAACAGGCUGAUACCGCCCAAGAGUUCAUAUCGACGGCGGUGUUUGGCACCUCGAUGUCGGCUCAUCACAUCCUGGGGCUGAAGUAGGUCCCAAGGGUAUGGCUGUUCGCCAUUUAAAGUGGUACGCGAGCUGGGUUUAGAACGUCGUGAGACAGUUCGGUCCCUAUCUGCCGUGGGCGCUGGAGAACUGAGGGGGGCUGCUCCUAGUACGAGAGGACCGGAGUGGACGCAUCACUGGUGUUCGGGUUGUCAUGCCAAUGGCACUGCCCGGUAGCUAAAUGCGGAAGAGAUAAGUGCUGAAAGCAUCUAAGCACGAAACUUGCCCCGAGAUGAGUUCUCCCUGACUCCUUGAGAGUCCUGAAGGAACGUUGAAGACGACGACGUUGAUAGGCCGGGUGUGUAAGCGCAGCGAUGCGUUGAGCUAACCGGUACUAAUGAACCGUGAGGCUUAACCUU